rnacentral:lncRNA from 1 species
GUAGCAGAUCUCGAAACCCUACCUCUUGUCUCCCAAGAAAUCGCACAUUCUCUUCAAGAACCGGUUCCACUGUUUCAAGAACCAGUUCAACAUCGACGUGAUCAUUCGUUUGAUCCAUUUGGGUUUGGUCGAUUGCGAUUCAUUUGGUUCGAAGAAGCACAAGAAUUUGUCGUUUUUCGAAGUCGGAAUGCUUGAAUAACGGCGGUUUAGUUGGUCUCGAAGGUCGUCAUGGACGAUCGAUGGCGACUCGUUCGUUGCUGUUCGGAGA